rnacentral:lncRNA from 1 species
AAAAUUAUACCACAGUUUGGGGAACCUCUGCUCUGAAUGGGCAGGGAGUAUCUCCACAGCUCUUUGGAACACAAAAUAAAAUGACUCUUCUGGAGUUCCAAUCAGAGCCAAAUUAUAGAAUGAAAACAGCAAUUUGGAGAAUUCCCUUGCAUGUCCUUAUCCUGUUUGCUCUCCUGGGUGUGUGUAUGUGCAUGCAUGGUGUGAGCUAUAAUGUGGGUUUGUAGUCAGUUCACACAGGAAUCAUUGUGGCUGUGCUCUUCCUGCUUCAAACAUGGGCACCACCAAAAAUACAGAAAGGAUAGGUCAGGCCCACCCUAGGGCAUCUCAGGAAGCAUCAUUUUGUGUGUACCAUGGCACAGUUAAAUAUACGAAUAUAUACUGGACAUUUAAUUCUUAAAACAAACCUUUAGUUUCUCUUUAUAUGAAAACUAAAAUUUAUAGAGGUCAAGUAAAUUGCCCAAGACUGGGCGCAGUGGCUCAUGCCUGUAAUCCCAGCACUUUGGGAGACCAAGGCAGGCGGAUCAUCUGAGGUCAGGAGUUCGAGGCC